AUUGAACGCUGGCGGCAUGCUUUACACAUGCAAGUCGAACGGUAACAGGCCGCAAGGUGCUGACGAGUGGCGAACGGGUGAGUAAUGCAUCGGAACGUGCCCAGUCGUGGGGGAUAACGCAGCGAAAGCUGCGCUAAUACCGCAUACGAUCUAUGGAUGAAAGCGGGGGACCGUAAGGCCUCGCGCGAUUGGAGCGGCCGAUGUCAGAUUAGGUAGUUGGUGGGGUAAAGGCUCACCAAUCCAACGAUCUGUAGCUGGUCUGCGAGGACGACCAGCCACACGGGGACUGAGACACGGCCCAGACUCCUACGGGAGGCAGCAGUGGGGAAUUUUGGACAGUGGGCGCAAGCCUGAUCCAGCAAUGCCGCGUGCAGGAAGAAGGCCUUCGGGUUGUAAACUGCUUUUGUACGGAACGAAACGGUCCUGGUUAAUACCUGGGGCUAAUGACGGUACCGUAAGAAUAAGCACCGGCUAACUACGUGCCAGCCGCCGCCGUAAAAC
rnacentral:rRNA from 1 species